GGUAAGUGGCUGAGUAUGGCUUAAAGUUCCAGUCUUGAAAACUGGUGAGGUUUUAAUCUCCGUAGGUUCGAAUCCUACCUUAC
rnacentral:tRNA from 1 species